CCUGGAUUCCGGAAGUCUUGGUUACCGGAUGCCAGUCUCAGGAAGGAUUGUGUUAUAAAGUUUGCUAACAAGAUGGAGAACUUUAUCUACUAUAAAAGGAGAAACAACAUUCUUCCUCCUGGAUGACACAAGCUUCCCCCUCCACCCUGUUCUGCUGUCAGGAGGUCCGGCAUCCUUCUAUUUUGUAGUACAACCCUGGGAGUGGUGGUCAUCUGAACCUGGAGAAUAAUUAUAACAGGAAUGCAGAGGUCCUGGCCAUGAAGGAGAAGAACCCCGUAGAGACCAAUGAGUCUGUAAAGAAGAACAUCCUCCAGGACCCUUCCACAGCGGAUCUGCUACUGAUAGAUCCUCUUCCCCCUUAACCCCCUACCAUGGGCCCAUUUCCCAUGGGCCCUCCUCAAGGAUCUCCCUUGAGCCCUUGUCCAGCGGCCCUUUAUUCUCCCUCCCCCCCACAACCCCUGCUCCUCUGGCCUCAGCAAAGGGGUAGAGUGGAGAGGGACCCUCGGAACUGGGAUCAGCCAUGGAGACCUGGAGCAAAAGGGCCACUUAACCCGAUACAACAGUGGCCCUCCCCCUCCAAGCCUACGGGUCCAUAGAUGAGGAUGGUAAUCAGGCCGUGCAACACCCACUGUCUUAGUCAGGGUUUCUAUUCCUGGACAAAACAUCAUGACCAAGAAGCAAG